rnacentral:rRNA from 1 species
UACGAAGGGGGCUAGCGUUGCUCGGAAUCACUGGGCGUAAAGCGCACGUAGGCGGAUUGUUAAGUCAGGGGUGAAAUCCUGGAGCUCAACUCCAAAACUGCCUUUGAUACUGGCGAUCUCGAGUCCGGGAGAGGUGAGUGGAACUGCGAGUGUAGAGGUGAAAUUCGUAGAUAUUCGCAAGAACACCAGUGGCGAAGGCGGCUCACUGGCCCGGUACUGACGCUGAGGUGCGAAAGCGUGGGGAGCAAACAGG